AUACCGGAUACUGAUCUGGCUGGGCAUCCAAGUGGUUCGAAAGCUCCGGCGGUGCAGGAUGAGCCCGCGGCCUAUCAGUUUGUUGGUGAGGUAAUGGCUCACCAAGGCGACGACGGGUAUCCGGCCUGAGAGGGCGACCGGCCACAUUGGGACUGAGACACGUCCCAGUCUCCUAUGGGAGGCAGCAGUGGGGAAUAUUGCACAAUGGGCGAAAGCCUGAUACAGCGACCCCGGGUGAGGGAUGUCGGCCUUCGGGUUGUAAUCCUCUUUCCGCAGGGAAGAAGUGAAAGUGGUGUUUCUUGCAGAAGAAGCGCCGGCUAUCUACGUGCCAGCUGCCGCGGUAAUACGUAGGGCGCAAGCGUUGUCCGGAAUUAUUGGGCGUAAAGAGCUUGUAGGCGGCUUGUCACGUCGGUUGUGAAAGCCCGGGGCUUAACCCCGGGUCUGCAGUGGAUACGGGCAGGUUAGAGUUCGGUAGGGGAGAUCGGAAUCCCUGGUGUAGCGGUGAA
rnacentral:rRNA from 1 species